AUUGAACGCUGGCGGCAUGCCUUACACAUGCAAGUCGAACGGUAACGCGGGGCAACCUGGCGACGAGUGGCGAACGGGUGAGUAAUGCAUCGGAACGUGCCUGGUAGUGGGGGAUAACUGUUCGAAAGAACAGCUAAUACCGCAUACGACCUGAGGGUGAAAGGGGGGGAUCGCAAGACCUCUCGCUAUCAGAGCGGCCGAUGUCGGAUUAGCUAGUUGGUGGGGUAAAGGCCCACCAAGGCAACGAUCCGUAGCUGGUCUGAGAGGACGACCAGCCACACUGGGACUGAGACACGGUCCAGACUCCUACGGGAGGCAGCAGUGGGGAAUUUUGGACAAUGGGCGCAAGCCUGAUCCAGCCAUGCCGCGUGAGUGAAGAAGGCCUUCGGGUUGUAAAGCUCUUUCGGCCGGGAAGAAAUCGCAUGGGUUAAUACCCUGUGCGGAUGACGGUACCGGCAUAAGAAGCACCGGCUAACUACGUG
rnacentral:rRNA from 1 species